AUUGAACGCUGGCGGCAUGCCUAACACAUGCAAGUCGAACGGUAACAGGUUAAGCUGACGAGUGGCGAACGGGUGAGUAAUGUAUCGGAACGUGCCCAGUCGUGGGGGAUAACUGCGCGAAAGAGCAGCUAAUACCGCAUACGACCUGAGGGUGAAAGCGGGGGAUCGCAAGACCUCGCGCGAUUGGAGCGGCCGAUAUCAGAUUAGGUAGUUGGUGAGGUAAAGGCUCACCAAGACGACGAUCGGUAGCUGGUCUGAGAGGACGACCAGCCACACUGGGACUGAGACACGGCCCAGACUCCUACGGGAGGCAGCAGUGGGGAAUUUUGGACAACGGGGGCAAGCCUGAUCCAGUCAUGCCGAGUGCGGGAAGAAGGCCUUCGGGUUGUAAACCGCUUUUGUCAGGGAAGAAAAGGUUCUGGCUAAUACCUGGGACUAAUGACGGUACCUGAAGAAUAAGCACCGGCUAACUACGUG
rnacentral:rRNA from 1 species